GAUGAACGCUAGCGGCAGGCUUAACACAUGCAAGUCGAGGGGCAGCGCGGGAUAGCAAUAUCCUGGCGGCGACCGGCGGAAGGGUGCGUAACGCGUGAGCGACAUGCCCGUUGCCCGGGGACAACCGGUGGAAACGCCGACUAAUCCCCGAUGGGAUACGAUGCUUCAUGGCAUUGUAUUGAAAGUUACAGCGGCGACGGAUUGGCUCGCGUCCGAUUAGCUGGUUGGCGGGGUAACGGCCGGCCAAGGCUGCGAUCGGUAGGGGUUCUGAGAGGAAGGCCCCCCACAAUGGGACUGAGACACGGCCCAUACUCCUACGGGAGGCAGCAGUGAGGAAUAUUGGUCAAUGGGCGGAAGCCUGAACCAGCCAUGCCGCGUGCGGGAAGGAGGCCCUAUGGGCUGUGAACCGCUUUUGCCUGGGGGCAAUAAGGGCGUCGCGCACGUCCGAUGAGAGUACCAGGCGAAUAAGCAUCGGCUAACUCCGUG
rnacentral:rRNA from 1 species